GCAGCGGUAGUUCAGUCGGUUAGAAUACCGGCCUGUCCGCCGGGGGUCGCGGGUUCGAGUCCCGUCCGCUGCGCCA
rnacentral:tRNA from 1 species